AUUAUGAAAAAACGCAAGACAAGGCUUCGUUUUCACCCAACUCCUGAUUUUCAACUCUUUUUUUUUGUGCUUCUCUAUUUCCUUCUUUUCGCGAUUCCCCUU
rnacentral:ribozyme from 13 species